rnacentral:rRNA from 1 species
CCUUUGACGUUAGCGGCGGACGGGUGAGUAACACGUGGGUAACCUACCUAUAAGACUGGGAUAACUUCGGGAAACCGGAGCUAAUACCGGAUAAUAUUUCGAACCGCAUGGUUCGAUAGUGAAAGAUGGUUUUGCUAUCACUUAUAGAUGGACCCGCGCCGUAUUAGCUAGUUGGUAAGGUAACGGCUUACCAAGGCGACGAUACGUAGCCGACCUGAGAGGGUGAUCGGCCACACUGUAACUGAGACACGGUCCAGACUCCUACGGGAGGCAGCAGCC